GGUGCAUGGCCGUCGUCAGUUCGUACUGUGAAGCAUCCUCGUUAAGUCAGGCAACGAGCGAGACCCACGCCCACAGUUGCCAGCGUACUCUCUGGAGUGACGGGUACACUGUGGGGACCGCCGCUGCUAAAGCGAGGAAGGAAUGGGCAACGGUAGGUCAGUAUGCCCCGAAUAUCCCGGGCUACACGCGAGCUACAAUGGUUGGUACAAUGGGUAUCUACCCCGAAAGGGGAUGGAAAUCUCCUAAAGCCAAUCUUAGUCCGGAUUGAGGGCUGCAACUCGCCCUCAUGAAGCUGGAAUCCGUAGUAAUCGCGUUUCAACAGAACGCGGUGAAUACGUCCCUGCUCCUU
rnacentral:rRNA from 1 species